UUGAAAGGGAAACGAUUGAAGUCAGUCAUGCCGGUGGGAAUCAACUUAGGGGAAACUCUAGGUGCACUUCUUCGCUUGGCAGGUCAAUGUCGAUUUUGAAUGUCAUAAAAUAAUUGGGGGAAGGUAGCUCCUUCGGGAGUGUUAUAGCCCUUGAUAGAUGUGAUGUUUGGGGUCGAGGAUUGCAACGGAUACCUCUGGGGCUAGCCGCCUGAUCUCUAAUCGGUGUUGGGUUACGGAUAGCAUGCUGACCGUGAUCUAAUUACUGGUUAAAAGGUUAGAGCGUGCAUAAAUUCGUUAAGGAUGUUGACGUA
rnacentral:rRNA from 1 species